rnacentral:rRNA from 1 species
GACGAACGCUGGCGGCGUGCCUAACACAUGCAAGUCGAACGGACGAGACCUCUUCGGAGGUCAAGUUAGUGGCGGACGGGUGAGUAACGCGUGAGUAACCUGCCUUACAGAGGGGGAUAACGUUUGGAAACGAACGCUAAUACCGCAUAAUGUAUCGGGAUCGCAUGGUUCUGAUACCAAAGAUUUUAUCGCUGUAAGAUGGACUCGCGUCUGAUUAGAUAGUUGGUGAGGUAACGGCUCACCAAGUCGACGAUCAGUAGCCGGACUGAGAGGUUGAACGGCCACAUUGGGACUGAGACACGGCCCAGACUCCUACGGGAGGCAGCAGUGAGGGAUAUUGCACAAUGGGCGCAAGCCUGAUGCAGCAACGCCGCGUGAGGGAUGACGGUUUUCGGAUUGUAAACCUCUGUCUUUGGUGAAGAUAAUGACAUUAGCCAAGGAGGAAGCCACGGCUAACUACGUG